CCUUAGCUAGGUUUUGGUGAUUGGGGCAUUUAAAUAGAAAAUAAGAAAGAGCUUGAAGGCUCAUUUGGCUUGGUGGCUGCCGUGUGCUUAGAGAGAAGGGAGAGAAGAAGAACAUGAAGGAGAAGAGAAGGAGAAGAAAGAAGAGGCCAAGGCUAGGGAUCCUAAGGUUUGGAUUUUGUUGCAAGAGGAUUGGAGGCUAGGGUUCUAAAUAUCUAGGGCUUGAACAAGUGGUGGCCAUAGUUUGGGUUCUUGUCACUAUUGUGUCCUUGAGUUCUAGCAAGAGAGGUAAUGAUAACCUUUUUGUCUUAUGGUUGUUGUUCUUAUCUUUUGGUUAUUGUUGUUUUGAGAAUAUUGUUUAUGAAUGAUGGUAUAUUGUUUUGUUCUCUUUUGAUUUGUUGGUUGAUUGAUAUUAUGGAUUUUGGGUUGAAGGGUUGUUUUGUUUGAUGCAUGAAGGGUUUGGCCUUGGGUGUGUGGUGUAUAUAGGCAAGCAUGAAUAGAAAUUUUUGGUUAUACAUGAAAUAAAAAAAAUCUUAUGGUUAUGUUUUCAUGGUUGUUUUGAAUCAAAUGGUUUAUGUAAUAAGAUUGCAAGGAUGGUAAUGGAUACAUGCUAGGGUAUGAGUUUUGGAUUUCUUGAUUGAGGCUUGAAGG